AUGUCUGUGCUACCACAGGGCUUUUGUGUAACUGUACCCACUGUCACCACUGGCAUGUCUGAUACCUUGAUCCCGUUUCCAUCAUUCUUCUCCUGCAUGUGCAUGGAUGCUGUGUCACCAUGUGAUGCCAUCUGUCACAUUCUGAAACAACAAAAAAGACCUCACCAGAUGUGGCCCUUUCAUCUUGGACUUCCCAGCCUCCAGAACUGUGAGUCAAAUAAACUUCUAUUCUGUAUGAAUUACCCAAUCAGUGAUAAAUUCUGUUAUGUAGCACAAGAUAGACUAAGGAAGGUGUAUAACUUCUCCGAGAUCAUAUAACUCGCAAAAAGUACAAUCAGGCCUCAAACCCAGGUCUGUAUGAUAUUAAAGGCAAUGGUUUUAUUCUUGUUCUGAGAAUUCCUGAGACUGUCUACACUCUUGUUUGGUCUUUAGGGCUGGGGUUGAUUUGUGGGAAGCAAUGUCUAGAGAACAUGUUAGAAUAAAUUUCAUGAAAUUGCACA
rnacentral:lncRNA from 1 species